rnacentral:misc_RNA from 1 species
ACAUAAAGGAUGAUAUUGGUCAAAAAUUCCAUUUCCCUAUAAAGUGACAGAACCAGAAAACAAUUUGAAAACAUUGUGCAGAUACAAUGGAUCAUUAAUUUGACUGGCACUUUGCUGACUAAUCUCUUAAACAGAUUCAAACUACUAGAACAGUCUUAGAUAUCCACAAGGGUGUAAGCAAUGCAUAACUUGCAAGACAUGGUGAUUUUCGGCAUUGUAAUUAGCAAUACAUAAAAAUCCUUGGGGAUUCAUAGAUGACCCUGAACAGAGCUACAACCAGCUUAAAGGGAUCUCAACAUCACAUUCAUCCCAACAUACAGACUCUUGAUGAUCCUGAGAAUUGUG